GUAUAGGUUUUUUUAAAAACCACAAUGUAUGAAAUACAUUUUUUA
rfam:Picoides pubescens contig86850, whole genome shotgun sequence.